UCGAUUGUUUUUGGUGUUGAUCAGCGAUCAACCAGCCUACUGGGUGGACUCGAAGAAACAGUUCCAAUAGCGUCAUUGUUCUUUUGGGGAGUUGCAAAUGGGGAAGAUAAGCUAUCUUUUAUGAAACUGAUAUCAUUGCAUUUCAGGUGCUGAGCAGGACGAAACUCUUGAUUUUUUUUAGAGUUUCUUCCUUCUUGUCGCCGUUCCUUUGUUGUAUUCUAAACGAAGAGCGUUUGAAGAAUUUGGCCCAAUUCGGUGCUACAACAUUCUUCAGCGGAUUUCUGGCUGCUGACCUCACAGAGCCCCCUAAUAUUGUUCAAACGAGUUUUUCGCAUAUUUAUCUGGCGAUUUAGUCAGACUUUUGAGCCGUUUGAAUAAAUCAUACAGCCAAAACUAGAUUUGAUGUCCUUGAAUUCACGAAAGAACCAGCUUUCAACGGUCGUUUUCUUCAGCUGAAUCUUUUUGGGCGCCCAAGUCCCAAGUCUAAUCGAGUUAUUAUUGACGUUAAUGGCUUUGAAGUCGAUUUUUUCGUUUUCUUGACAAUGUUUUUUUGUGGGAACUUAGCCGUUUUGAAAGUCUAAGGUCGAUGUGCGAGUGAGAUCCAACGUUCACAAACUUUGCACUGUGUGCAAAUAUAAUUAUAAUCAUCAUAUGCUGCAGCUUUUUGCGUUCGAAUAAUUGCUAUUUGUUCCACUUAUUUUGACUCUGAAGUUCCAUUCUUCCUGCUGAUUUUAUCCGCUCAUUCGUGGGAGUUAUGAAAUGGAACAAUCGGAACUGUUUGGACGAGUCCAGUUGAUCUGUGCUGAGAUCAUUCAGAUACACUUUUCUGAAUGAUUUGCAUACUUAAGGCUGAAUUACGCUACUUAAUAAUUGCGGUGCUGUCAGUGUUGAGGAGCGGUUUGCUGAGAAACUAUGGGAAAAUACCAAAAAGUACCGUAUGGGCGAAGAAUCGACAUCAACGAAAUACGAAUUUUCAGAACCAAAACCUACCUAUUACUAAGUAAUUAAUAGAUGAGUUAACGUUCGGAACACGGAAAGUUUGAUUCUAAUCAUGAUUUAUUAUGGGUUUUGCUAUUAAUUAAGCCUUUUGUUGAUAUGUGAUCGCAACUAGAUAAUAUUGGCCAGAAUCAAUAGUUUAUUUAGUAUUAUUAUAUUUCGUCUAAAAAAUCGAGCUCUAAGAAUAAACCUCAAUUAAUCAAUGAACUUCGUUUGGAAACUUUAUGCCGGUAAAAUGUUACAUAAAUUAUUUAAUUAAUUAAUUAUAAAUCAUCGAAUAUAUAUCUGAACUUGGCAAUGUAUUUGCAUAAAACUUCAUACAAAGAAAAUUGACUUCUACAAGCCCAAUCUAUGUAAGUGAUUAAUUACACGACUUCUCCGUGUAAUUAGUUGCAUGUUCCGAAGAACAUUCCAGUUGUAGGUUUUGUCAUCAAUUAAAAAACAAUAAUUAAACGUAAUUGACGUGGGCGAAGCAAUUACAUCUAUCAACAGGAUGAAACAUCGGAUAAGUUUCGAUGGGGUUUUAAUUGAGUUUUCUGGGUGCGAUAGCGAUUUAGAGUGUUUUUUUCCAAAAACCCAUGUUGGAAAACAUCCGAAACCAAUCAUUCGAAUUAAGCAAACGCUCAUUUCAAAGCUUCUUGCGCGUUUCAUCUGUGUAUCAUUAAAGCGCAAAUGACACGACCAUUAAAGUAUCUGCAUAAGCAAGCAAGUAGAUUCAAAGACGAUAAACGGUACCGUUAUCUAGACCUCCCAUCUAACACAUGAGUUAUUUCAGAAUUUGUGCAAAUGAUGGUACCGCCUAAAUUAAGGUGUGAAUUGAUGAAGAAUAUUUUAUAGGCUGUGUACGUUCAGGAGGCGAUCAUGUAGUUCUAGACGGAAUUUGAAAGUGAAUAGAACGCAGAAAUUGCUAAAAGCGUGCCAAAUUACAAAGGCAACGAAUACAUAAACUAAAAUUAAAACAAGGUAUUACAUGUGAAACAUGUUUAACUGCGCUUAUAAGCAAAUAAUAAAACCAAAAGUCGUUUUUUUGCACUGGCAACAACAAACGCUUAAUUGAGAUUGGUGAAUUUUUCGUUUUGGAAUAGAAUUUGUUCCUGACGUUUCGCAAGCACGAAUGACUGGCACCUUCAGAGGUUGACUGAACGUUAUCAGCGUUUAGUUCUACAAACCAGGAACAGUUUCAUAUUUAGAAAGCCACCAGACUAAUUAAGGUAACCCGAUAAACAAUCCUUUUAUGUCAAGUCGCAGGUUUAUCGAGCAAAAAAUGUGGUUCCAAACAGGAAAUGUGCCACAUUUAUUUAUCAUAUAUCUUGCUAGUAGAGUAAGCCGCAGGCCGCUUCCAGUCUAUGUUAGUGCAAACAGCCAUGCAACCGAUGCAUACUAUCUUAAAUCGAUCGCAUAUGGUCAAUAAAUUACACCUAUGGUGUGCCUGAAUGCAGUUUGCAUCGAGUAUUUGUGAGAAUUUAUUUACUUAUCGGUUAUUAUUGAAGGAAUACGUCAAUUUGAUCGGGCUUCCAAGUGUCCAACUGCUUCUGCAGCCGGUUUGGUUUCGUACUUUUUGCGCCUGCUGAGCAAUUUGCUACGGUAUUUAUGCCAAAUGACCGCCGCCCAUAAGAAAUUCUUCCUGACGUUUCAUAAGCACGACUGACUUUCAUCUUCAGAGAUGGUUUGUUCGACACAGCAACUAACUUAUUAUUUAUUUUUUGAAUAUUGUUUUUUAUAUUUUAUUUAUAUUAAUUAUUUAUAUAUAAUAUGCUGUAUUCUGAUUGUGUAUCGGUAACCUGUUUGUGUAUUUUUAAAACAAUUUUC